UACGUAGGGUGCAAGCGUUGUCCGGAAUUAUUGGGCGUAAAGAGCUCGUAGGCGGUCUGUCGCGUCGGCUGUGAAAUCCCGAGGCUCAACCUCGGGUCUGCAGUCGAUAUGGGCAAACUAGAGUAUUGCAGGGGAGACUGGAAUUCCUGGUGUAGCGGUGAAAUGCGCAGAUAUCAGGAGGAACACCGGUGGCGAAGGCGGGUCUCUGGGCAAUAACUGACGCUGAGGAGCGAAAGCGUGGGGAGCGAACAGG
rnacentral:rRNA from 1 species